rnacentral:lncRNA from 1 species
UAUAUGAUAUUACCAAUUACAACCAGCCUUAUGGAGACUUUUUCUAGAUUUUUGUAUUCUCUUGGCCAUUCUUCCUUUUGGACCUUCGAAUAUAGCGAUAGAUGCAAAGGUCGGGGAGUCACAGAUCGACGUGGCACAAUCUUUCUGGUCUUAUCUUGGGAGUUCCCGUGCAUUCAAUGCCGCGGAAGCCUAUUAGAGCCCACUUCAGCGUCUAGUGGGCCGGUGCACUACCACACAU